GUCCCCGUAGCUCAAUUGGAUAGAGCGCUGGCCUCCGGAGCCAGAGGUUGGAGGUUCGAAUCCUCCCGGGGAUG
rnacentral:tRNA from 2 species